UGCAGCAUCAUGUGGAUGUGUGCCUAUUUCCUAGGGCCAGCCAGGGAACAGUGCAAGGUGUGACAUAGGUGAGCACCAACUGAAAUGUCACAAGAGAAAGUCGGGGCCCAGAGGAGGAGAAUGAGAGCCCAGCAUGGAAGGUUAACAUGUUGACUGCCACCAAAGCAUGUGGAUCAUGGAUAGGAAACAGCACCCCUCUACACUGGGCAGCACUCUGAGACAGUGACCCAAUGACUUGUCUGAAGCAGGGUUGAGAGUGCUCCAGCUCCAGUGCCCCAAGGCACCAGCUGAAUGCUGCAUUAUGCACUCACAGACUUCACUGACAGGAUCUUCUCCUGAUUUAUGUUGGUUCUACUCUCAUUUGGUUGUGUCUCUGUCCUUCAGAGCGCAAAGCUGUUUUAGCAUAUAGACUACAUGAGCACUCUUGAGAACAACCAUCUUUUCCCUGGUGCUUAUGCCCUUCGAUCUCAAUAUUUCAGAAUUCUUUCAAACAUCACCUUUCUUUCUCCCAGUGUUGGCCUGAGUGACUCUUAGGGCAGAAGGCAAUUCAGCUUAGACACGCUGACAUUCCUUGCUCUGACACUUUCUCACGUGAGAUUGUUUUACUGACCACUCAGCUUCUAAAUACCCGUGGCCAGAUUUGUUUUCUACCACUCUGUUACUGCUGGAAUCAGCUGGGAGGACAUAUUUCACUUGCUGCUAUGAAGCACUGGAAUGAUAUUUAGACUCCUGACUUCUACUGAGAAGACAGAAUGCACCCUUGGCCUGUCAGAAGCAAAACACCCUAAAUCAGGGUCCUGUUGACUUAGGUCAAGUAGAAUUAAAGAAACACAUCACCAAAGGCACAUCUUUAAAGCCAGUUUAUUUCUCUACCAUUCCACCAUGGUAGCUGUCGUCAAUACUUGCUGUUAUCUUUGGAGCAAGAACAUCAUUAGCAGGUUUAUUGCUUAUUAAUGCCAUGUUGAGGAUUGUUUAUUUCAGCUGGCAGUUGAUAUCUAAAAGAAUGGCUUAAGGACAAAAAUAUACAUUUCAGUCUGAGGAACUCAUUAAUGAUACUUUAAUCCACCGGAGUCUUAGGUUUUAUUUUCCUCUACUCAGCACUGGGAAAUUUUUUUUCUUGACUUGUCCUCUCUGAACUUGCCGAGCACGAGUUCCAAAUCCCAGAGACUGCAUUGAUUCUGUUAAGUACUUUUGGCCAGGAGAGAUGCACAGCAUCACCAACAGUUUAGCAUCACCUCCUAAAAGCAAGAGAAAGACAAAACUUACUUAUUUACCUCAUUAUUUUCAGUAAGUUAUACAUUGUUACCAUACUGAUCUGCACAACAUGAGCACAGGUUACCAUUGCUUUCAUGAAGCAGAAGACUGCUCCUGAAAAGGGCUGUUGAAACAGACAGCUCCUUCAUGGGGAGUCUGUAUCUAACAAUAUGAUAUUUACCCCCAAAUGUUUCACAAUUUGUAAUGUUACAAUUUUUUUCCCCUAUUAGCAGCUUCAUUAGUUAAUCAUCAUGUAUGUUAUGGCUCUGGACACUUAUUUAAGUUCUGUCAAAUAUUUGUAAAUUUUGGGUAAUGGCAAAAUGGCUUGUUUGACAAUAAAACAAAACAGACUUUAAGUUUAUAGACAAUGAUUAAACAAAGGAAGAAAUGGCCAUUUUCAACACUUAACCAAAGUCAUGUAACAGACUUAGUUAAAAUCAGGCUGAGUGCCUGUACAACAUAGCUCUCACUUCUCUUUUUGGCUUUCCCUUUUCACAGUAGGGACUCCAGUAUGAAGUGAAAAUCAAAGCUUAAGCAAAAAAUUAAUAGCAUUUCAGAAACUCUGGAGAACUGUUACCUCAUUCACUGUCAAUGCCUUGAACUGGAGAUUAAAAGCAUAAGGGCUAAUUUUUUCUGGGUGAAGAAAAAUGAACCAGUGUACUACACAUAUGGGCACAAAUCUGACAUUACUGCAGGCAUAACACUUGCUUUAAAAUUACUUCUGAAUUGGUGAGGAGCUAAAGAAUAGGAAGUGAUCCCAACACAAUAGGAAAUUAUAGCACAGUGCCAUGUCAUGUCUUCCUCCUUUGUCUUGCUGCUGCAGGGCACAUUGUUAAGGAAUGUGCAAGCAGGUGAUUAUACCCUGUAGUAAUAAAGAUUGAAGUUUUACUUUUAAACUGUACCUGACAUGAAACACUGGUGAAACGCAAUUUUUACCCUUUAUAUGAUCCUAUUGAGAUGUUGUUCUUCAACUAAGCUUUGGCAACCGCAAGGUUUAGCCUGAUUCAGGAGUUCAGAACUGUCACUGUGUGCUCACACUCUCCCGAGCCAGAGUCUUUGAAAUAGAGGGCACAUUCACGCAAAGAGUAUAAGAUCAUCUUCUAGUUUUACACAGCAAAGGAGAUGAAAAAUCAGGAGAAGAAAUCUAUAUUGUUGAACAAAAGUCAGAAUAAUCCCUCACCCACAGAGUCCUGAAGCAGAUGUGUAAGUUUGCUGUUCCGAUAUGGGACGUGAGCUCGCUGCUCUGCUAUUGCUCCCAGAACGUCGGCCAGGGCGGACAGGCUGCGGUUAAUGAAGGAAGUCUCUCUCAGUGCUGCUCCUGUCACUCCAGACAUACCUGGUACAGUGUAGAAAAAGGCACUGGUAACAGUAAGCAAAUCUGCUUCAAAACUGUAAUGUGGAGGAAAAGUUAAAGAAGAUUCAAUGUCUACAGAUGGUCCAAAACAUCUCAUGUUAAAGUUGAUCUCUGCAGAUGUACAAUGCAUUUUUUGCUCCAUAGGUAUUAAGAACAAGGAACCAAGAAAGUUUAGAUUAGACAAGACAA